rnacentral:rRNA from 1 species
UACGAAGGGGGCUAGCGUUGUUCGGAAUUACUGGGCGUAAAGGGCGCGUAGGCGGCUCUUUAAGUCAGGGGUGAAAUCCUGGGGCUCAACUCCAGAACUGCCUUUGAUACUGAGGAUCUUGAGUACGGGAGAGGUGAGUGGAACUGCGAGUGUAGAGGUGAAAUUCGUAGAUAUUCGGAAGAACACCAGUGGCGAAGGCGGCUCACUGGCCCGGUACUGACGCUGAGGUGCGAAAGCGUGGGGAGCAAACAGG